UUGUAGUUGAUUAGAACACAUAUUAUCCCAUCCACAACACAUAUCAACCAAGCAUCCAUUAGAUUAAUGAUCUUGAUGGACAAGCACACGAAUCACAGACGUGCACCAGCCAUGCUGCUCUUUCUACUGUUUCUCGCGUGCUUUGCUCUUCAUGCACAAUGUCAAAUCAUCGAGGGCAUGGACAACGACAAGAUCAAUUUACCAACUGGACUGUGCGUCCAUAGUAAGGGCUGCUCGGGUAAUUGUUGCUACUCGUGUCUAGUGCUGGCAGAUUGCUUUGUAUCAAUGGAGGAGUGCCAGAAAGCGUGCCAAAAAGACACCACUGCCACCUUUAACCAUACAUCCCCAUCAAUUUGAGUUUCUUCUUUUUAAAGCGGCAAUUAAUUGAUUGGAACAAGGGUACUUUGUUGUUUUCUUUUGAAGCGGAUAGUUCUUCUCUUAUAAAAGUUGUCUCAAUGUACGCUGGAUUAAACUAUGUAAUUGUUUUUCAAUAUCUUAUAAGGCCCCACCAUGGAA